UACAUACUCCCUCCGUUCCAAAUUACUUGUCGCAAAAAUGGAUGUAUCUAGAACUAAAAUACAUCUAGAUACAUCUAUAUCUGCGACAAGUAAUUCGGAACGGAGGGAGUAUAUG
rfam:Triticum aestivum genome assembly, contig: Triticum_aestivum_CS42_TGACv1_scaffold_375709_5AL